GACGAACGCUGGCGGCGUGCCUAAUACAUGCAAGUAGAACGCACAGUUUAUACCGUAGCUUGCUACACCAUAGACUGUGAGUUGCGAACGGGUGAGUAACGCGUAGGUAACCUGCCUGGUAGCGGGGGAUAACUAUUGGAAACGAUAGCUAAUACCGCAUAAUAUUGAUUAUUGCAUGAUAAUUGAUUGAAAGAUGCUAUUGAAUCACUACCAGAUGGACCUGCGUUGUAUUAGCUAGUAGGUGGGGUAACGGCUCACCUAGGCGACGAUACAUAGCCGACCUGAGAGGGUGAUCGGCCACACUGGGACUGAGACACGGCCCAGACUCCUACGGGAGGCAGCAGUAGGGAAUCUUCGGCAAUGGACGAAAGUCUGACCGAGCAACGCCGCGGGAGUGAAGAAGGUUUUCGGAUCGUAAAGCUCUGUUGUAAGAGAAGAACGGGUGUGAGAGUGGAAAGUUCACACUGUGACGGUAUCUUACCAGAAAGGGACGGCUAACUACGUG
rnacentral:rRNA from 1 species